AGAGUGAACGCUGGCGGUAGGCCUAACACAUGCAAGUCGAACGGCAGCACAGUAGGAGCUUGCUCUUACGGGUGGCGAGUGGCGGACGGGUGAGGAAUACAUCGGAAUCUACCUUUUGGUGGGGGAUAACGUAGGGAAACUUACGCUAAUACCGCAUACGCCCGUUCGGGGGAAAGCCGGGGACCA
rnacentral:rRNA from 1 species